UGGGGAAUAUUGCACAAUGGGCGCAAGCCUGAUGCAGCAACGCCGCGUGAACGAUGAAGGUCUUCGGAUCGUAAAGUUCUGUUGCAGGGGAAGAUAAUGACGGUACCCUGUGAGGAAGCCCCGGCUAACUACGUGCCAGCAGCCGCGGUAAUACGUAGGGGGCUAGCGUUAUCCGGAUUUACUGGGCGUAAAGGGUGCGUAGGUGGUCUUUCAAGUCGGUGGUUAAAGGCUACGGCUCAACCGUAGUUAGCCUCCGAAACUGGAAGACUUGAGUGCAGGAGAGGAAAGUGGAAUUCCCAGUGUAGCGGUGAAAUGCGUAGAUAUUGGGAGGAACACCAGUAGCGAAGGCGACUUUCUGGACGAACACUGACGCUGAGGCGCGAAAGCCAGGGGAGCGAACGGG
rnacentral:rRNA from 1 species